ACUCCUGCGGGAGGCAGCAGUGGGGAAUUUUGGACAAUGGGCGAAAGCCUGAUCCAGCAAUGCCGCGUGUGUGAAGAAGGCCUUCGGGUUGUAAAGCACUUUUGUCCGGAAAGAAAUCCUUGGCUCUAAUACAGUCGGGGGAUGACGGUACCGGAAGAAUAAGCACCGGCUAACUACGUGCCAGCAGCCGCGGUAAUACGUAGGGUGCGAGCGUUAAUCGGAAUUACUGGGCGUAAAGCGUGCGCAGGCGGUUUGCUAAGACCGAUGUGAAAUCCCCGGGCUCAACCUGGGAACUGCAUUGGUGACUGGCAGGCUAGAGUAUGGCAGAGGGGGGUAGAAUUCCACGUGUAGCAGUGAAAUGCGUAGAGAUGUGGAGGAAUACCGAUGGCGAAGGCAGCCCCCUGGGCCAAUACUGACGCUCAUGCACGAAAGCGUGGGGAGCAAUCAGGAUUAGAUACCCGAGUAGUCCCAUGA
rnacentral:rRNA from 1 species